rnacentral:misc_RNA from 1 species
GAUGAAGAACGUAGCGAAAUGCGAUAAGUAAUGUGAAUUGCAGAAUUCAGUGAAACAUCGAAUCUUUGAACGCACAUUGCGCCCGCUAGUAUUCUGGCGGGCAUGCCUGUCCGAGCGUCAUUUCAACCCUCAAGCCCCCGGGCUUGGUGUUGGGGAUCGGCGAGCCUCCGCGCCCGCCGUCCCCUAAAUCUAGUGGCGGUCUCGCUGUAGCUUCCUCUGCGUAGUAGCACACCUCGCACUGGGAAACAGCGCGGCCACGCCGUUAAACCCCCAACUUCUGAACGUUUGACCUCGGAUCAGGUAGGAAUACCCGCUGAACUUAAGCAUAUCAAUAAGCGGAGGA